GUAUAUAAUUAACUAUUUAAUUUGUUUAUUCAAUUAUUUUUGUAAUUUUGACCUUUUAUUAUUGUUAUAAGAUUUAGAUACCUUAGGGAUAACAGCGUAAUUCUUUUUAAGAGUUCAUAUCGACAAAAGAGAUUGCGACCUCGAUGUUGGAUUAAGAUUACUAUUAGGUGUAGGUGCUUAAUUGGUAGGUCUGUUCGACCUAUAAAUUCUUAC
rnacentral:rRNA from 1 species